rnacentral:rRNA from 1 species
ACGAUCGAAAGAUGUGCUAAUACCGCAUAUGCUCUGAGGAGGAAAGUAGGGGGAUCGAAAGACCUUACGCUUUUGGAGCGGCCGAUGUCUGAUUAGCUAGUUGGUGGGGUAAGGGCCUACCAAGGCGACGAUCAGUAGUUGGUCUGAGAGGACGACCAGCCACACUGGGACUGAGACACGGCCCAGACUCCUACGGGAGGCAGCAGUGGGGAAUUUUGGACAAUGGGCGCAAGCCUGAUCCAGCAAUGCCGCGUGAGUGAAGAAGGCCUUCGGGUUGUAAAGCUCUUUCAGUCGAGAAGAAAAGGCUGCAGUGAAUAACUGUAGUUUAUGACGGUAUCGACAGAAGAAGCACCGGCUAACUACGUG